rnacentral:rRNA from 1 species
UACGUAGGGUGCAAGCGUUGUCCGGAAUUAUUUGGGCGUAAAGAGCUCGUAGGCGGUUUGUCGCGUCUGCUGUGAAAACCCGAGGCUCAACCUCGGGCCUGCGAGUGGGUACGGGCAGACUAGAGUGAUGUAGGGGAGACUGGAAUUCCUGGUGUAGCGGUGAAAGUGCGCAGAUAUCAGGAGGAACAGCCGAUGGCGAAGGCAGGUCUCUGGGCAAUUAACGUGACGCUGAGGAGCGAAAGCCAUGGGGAGCGAACAAG